rnacentral:rRNA from 1 species
AUUGAACGCUGGCGGCAGGCCUAACACAUGCAAGUCGAGCGGGGUUUUCGGACCUAGCGGCGGACGGGUGAGUAAUGCGUAGGAAGCUACCCGAUAGAGGGGGAUACCAGUUGGAAACGACUGUUAAUACCGCAUAAUGUCUACGGACCAAAGUGUGGGACCUUCGGGCCACAUGCUAUCGGAUGCGCCUACGUGGGAUUAGCUAGUUGGUGAGGUAAUGGCUCACCAAGGCGACGAUCCCUAGCUGGUUUGAGAGGAUGAUCAGCCACACUGGAACUGAGACACGGUCCAGACUCCUACGGGAGGCAGCAGUGGGGAAUAUUGGAAAAUGGGCGCAAGCCUGAUCCAGCCAUGCCGCGUGUGUGAAGAAGGCCUUCGGGUUGUAAAGCACUUUCAGUAGGGAGGAGGGGUUAAGUGUUAAUAGUACUUAACUUUGACGUUACCUACAGAAGAAGCACCGGCUAACUCUGUGCCAGCAGCCGCCGUAACAC